rnacentral:rRNA from 1 species
CCUACGGGAGGCUGCAGUGGGGAAUAUUGGACAAUGGGGGCAACCCUGAUCCAGCCAUGCCGCGUGUGUGAAGAAGGCCCUCGGGUUGUAAAGCACUUUCAGUGAGGAAGAACGCCUGGUGGUUAAUACCCAUCAGGAAAGACAUCACUCACAGAAGAAGCACCGGCUAACUCCGUGCCAGCAGCCGCGGUAAUACGGAGGGUGCGAGCGUUAAUCGGAAUUACUGGGCGUAAAGCGCGCGUAGGUGGCUUGAUAAGCCGGUUGUGAAAGCCCCGGGCUCAACCUGGGAACGGCAUCCGGAACUGUCAAGCUAGAGUGCAGGAGAGGAAGGUAGAAUUCCCGGUGUAGCGGUGAAAUGCGUAGAGAUCGGGAGGAAUACCGGUGGCGAAGGCGGCCUUCUGGACUGACACUGACACUGAGGUGCGAAAGCGUGGGUAGCAAACAGGAUUAGAUACCCUUGUAGUC